rnacentral:rRNA from 1 species
GGCGGCGUGCCUAAUACAUGCAAGUAGAACUCUGAAGGAGGAGCUUGCUUCUCCGGAUGAGUUGCGAACGGGUGAGUAACGCGUAGGUAACCUGCCUGGUAGCGGGUUAUAACUAUUGGAAACGAUAGCUAAUACCGCAUAAGAGUAGAUGUUGCAUGACAUUUGCUUAAAAGGUGCAAUUGCACCACUACCAGAUGGACCUGCGUUGUAUUAGCUAGUUGGUGGGGUAACGACUCACCAAGGCGACGAUACAUAGCCGACCUGAGAGGGUGAUCGGCCACACUGGGACUGAGACACGGCUCAGACUCCUACGGGAGGCAGCAGUAGGGAAUCUUCGGCAAUGGACGGAGGUCUGACCGAGCAACGCCGCGUGAGUGAAGAAGGUUUUCGGAUCGUAAAGCUCUGUUGUAAGAGAAGAACGAGUGUGAGAGUGGAAAGUUCACACUGUGACGGUAUCUUACCAGAAAGGGACGGCUAACUACGUGCCAGCAGCCGCGGUAAUACGUAGGUCCCGAGCGUUGUCCGGAUUUAUUGGGCGUAAAGCGAGCGCAGGCGGUUAGAUAAGUCUGAAGUUAAAGGCUGUGGCUUAACCAUAGUACGCUUUGGAAACUGUUUAACUUGAGUGCAAGAGGGGAGAGUGGAAUUCCAUGUGUAGCGGUGAAAUGCGUAGAUAUAUGGAGGAACCCCGGUGGCGAAAGCGGCUCUCUGGCUUGUAACUGACGCUGAGGCUCGAAAGCGUGGGGAGCAAACAGGAUUAGAUACCCUGGU